UGGGGUACAGCUCUGUGGCAGAGUGUGUGCUUUGCAUGCAUGUGGUCCUCGGUUCAAUCCCCAGUACCUCUG
rnacentral:tRNA from 1 species